AGGGGUGUCGCCAAAUGGUAAGGCACGGGACUUUGACUCCCGCAUCGCUGGUUCGAUUCCAGCCACCCCUGCCA
rnacentral:tRNA from 1 species